AUUGAACGCUGGCGGCAGGCCUAACACAUGCAAGUCGAACGAGUGGCGGACGGGUGAGUAAUGUCUGGGAAACUGCCUGAUGGCGGGGGAUAACUACUGGAAACGGUAGCUAAUACCGCAUACCAUCAGAUGUGCCCAGAUGGGAUUAGAUAGUUGGUGGGGUAACGGCUCACCAAGGCGACGAUCCCUCGCUGGUCUGAGAGGAUGACAAGCAACACGGGAAGUGAGACACGGUCAAACCUCCGACGGGAGGCGGCAGUGGGGAAUAUGGCACAAUGGGUGCAAGCCUGAUGCAGCCAUGCGGCGUGUAUGAAGAAGGCCUUCGGGUGGUAAAGUACUUUCAGCGGGGAGGCGUUACCCGCAGAAGAAGCACCGGCUAACUCCGUGCCAGCAGCCGCGGUAAUUC
rnacentral:rRNA from 1 species